AAUUCUCAAACCUUCUUGGUUUCUUGACCAAGAUGGCUUUGGACUUUGGAGGUGUUUUGCCGGCUUUGCAGAAAGUCGGCUCCUCUUAAAUGCAUUAGUGGGGUCCUCUUUGCCAAUCCCCGGGCGUGAUAAGAUGUUUCUACGUCUUGGGAUUUGCUCUGUUUGUUGGGAACCCGCUUCUAACCGUCUCGUGAGAGACAGCGUUCGAGUUCUGCUCGGCACACGAAA
rnacentral:misc_RNA from 1 species